rnacentral:tRNA from 1 species
GGAGGAAUAGCUCAGUGGUAGAGCAUGUGCUUAGCAUGCAUGAGGUUGUGGGUUCAAUCCCCAGUACCUCCA